rnacentral:rRNA from 1 species
UACGUAGGGUGCAAGCGUUAAUCGGAAUUACUGGGCGUAAAGCGUGCGCAGGCGGUUUUGUAAGACAGGUGUGAAAUCCCCGGGCUUAACCUGGGAACUGCAUUUGUGACUGCAAGGCUGGAGUGCGGCAGAGGGGGAUGGAAUUCCGCGUGUAGCAGUGAAAUGCGUAGAUAUGCGGAGGAGCACCGAUGGCGAAGGCAAUCCCCUGGGCCUGCACUGACGCUCAUGCACGAAAGCGUGGGGAGCAAACAGG